rnacentral:rRNA from 1 species
GACGAACGCUGGCGGCGUGCCUAACACAUGCAAGUCGAACGAGAUCCCGGAGCUUGCUCCGGGGGACAGUGGCGAACGGGUGAGUAACACGUGAGAAACCUGCCCUGGAGACCGGGACAACCAUUGGAAACGAUGGCUAAUACCGGAUGCCUUCACAUGACCGCAUGGUCGAGUGAAGAAAUGCUCAGGCGCUCUAGGAGGGUCUCGCGGCCUAUCAGCUAGUUGGUGAGGUAACGGCUCACCAAGGCAUCGACGGGUAGCUGGUCUGAGAGGACGAUCAGCCACACUGGGACUGAGACACGGCCCAGACUCCUACGGGAGGCAGCAGUGGGGAAUAUUGCGCAAUGGGCGAAAGCCUGACGCAGCAACGCCGCGUGUGGGAUGACAGCUUUCGGGUUGUAAACCACUUUCAGUGACGACGAAAAUGACGGUAGUCACAGAAGAAGGUCCGGCCAACUACG